UUUAAAUUUUAAAAUAUAAAUAUAAAAUAUAAAAAUUUAAAUUCUAAUAUAAAUAAAAAAGUGAUAAUAUUAUUAAUUUUUAUUUAUAACUACCCACUUUAAAUCUUAUUCCAUCUUACCUAACCAAAAGUUAUUUUUCUUAUUCCCAAAAAUAACCCAAUUUUCAUCCACACGCAAAAUUGAUUUAAUCCCCACUUAUAUCUCAAUUUAUACCUAUUCCUGGAAUACCCACUUUUUGCUUAUCCCCGAACCAAACGAUACCUAUAGAAACAAAUUUUAUAAUUUUAUAACGUCAUUUGUUAAGUGAUCAGCAUUUCGCUUUACAUUAGCGGUUAAAACAACUCAAUUUUUGAAUCACAAUGCUAGACAAAUAAUAUCGAAAAAUUAUAAAUUUAAGAUUUGAAAAAUCUAAAUAGUCUAGAUUAUAUUUAACCUACAGUAUCGAUCGUUUAUUCAAAUAUUCUAUUGUAGAAAACAAAAUCAAAAUGAACGAUCGCGGUCACUUUAAGAAGUAUUAUAAUCUAGCUCAGAUUAAAAUCAUCCGCAUUGCCUUUACUUCUUCUUUUUUUAAAAAAAAAAUUCUCUGCAUAUGUCCACAUGUAAAUAAAAAAAAAAUAAAAAAAAUCUUAUCAAAUAAAUAUUUUAGUUUGAUAAUAUAUGAUUAUUAUUUUUUUAAUCCUUUGAAUAUUUUAAAUCUAAAAUUAUGAUCAGCACCAAGGAGGUAAUGUGCUCCAACAAUAUGAACAUGUCCAGGGUGGAAACUAAUCUGAAAAGAUUAAUAAGUAAUCAAUCAAUCAAUCAAUCAAUCAGAGUUUUUGUGUGACUAAGUUAUGACUCAUUUCCUAGUCGAGUCACAUGUGUACAGUAAUAAGUGCUUCAGCGGACACAAAAAUAAUACACCGUACAUCUCAUUUCGCAUACGGAUAUGAGAUAUCUUAUACACUGUAGCUUAUGCUUAUCCUCGGAGGAUUCUUUUUUUCUUUUUUUCUUUUUUAUUUUUAAAUCUUUGCACCAACACUGCUUUAUUAGAUGUUUUGUAAUUUUCAAGCUACCAAACAAGAAUCAUGGGGCCGAUGAUGUUCUGCAUGUUUUGGAUUUUGUAUGCAAUUUUGUCCUAACUUAGGUGUGUUUGUUUGAAUCCAGUUUCAGCUUUAUCCAUAUGAGACUGGGCAAAUUUUUUUUUCUUGAAAAAACUACUGUAGAAUAAUUUUAUGGCCACAUUAGAAGUUGUAUGAAAAAAUAUUUAAAAUAGGCUAAAUUACAGAGAACUUUUUGUCAAUACCCGCUUCCUCACUUUUUUUCCGCCUUUUGAAAAUCUAUAUUUUACCCUCUCAAAAAUUGAGAGAUAUUUAUUUCGGCCAUCGCCGUCAGUGUUUCGUUAAAAUUUCAUUAAUAUUCUAUUAUUAUAUAUUUUUUUAUAUUCAAAAUAUUCUUGAAACCUUCAUCUCAGAUGCGCCUCUUCCUUCCUCGUCGACACCCUCGGCUGCGCCGUCUCACUCUCCACCGCCUCGCCCUCUCUUACCCCUGUCCGUGCCCCCACACACCCCCACACACGCCCUCGCCCUCCUUCACCACCUCACCCCUCUCCUCUGUACAGUCACCAAAAUAAAGAGGCAAGAGAGUGCUAGAGGAGCGGGAGAGCAGGUGAAAAAAACGAAGUCAGAAUUGCAAUCGAAGGAGGCGCGAAGGGCUGAAAAGGAGAAGCUGCAGAUGAGCAGAAUUGAAGAGAGGAUGAAAAAGAUGAACAGUUUAGUCAUUUUGUUAUCAAAGUUAACACCAUAUUCUCUGUGAAUAUUUUUUAUUUUUUAAGUAAACAAAGUAUAAACUUUUAAAUGACCGGAGACAAAAGUGAAAAAUCAAAUUUUGCCCGAAAAAUUUUCUAUAAUUUAACUUUUAAAAUGUUACUAUUCAUGUGCUUCGACCUUUUAUAGUAGAUGCAACAAUGAAAAAGUUAGGAGUAUGUGAAUAACAACACUCUUUAAAAAGUAUUCUACGCUUCUAGCUCGCCCCGGCAAACGUUUCUCCAAUAUAUACACAUAACAACCUACAGUUGAAAGGCAAAAAUGCCCAUCAGAUAUGAAGCAACAAAGAGAAAAAGAAUAAGUAUGAAGUUUGUUCUCUCGCCUACAUAUAAAACAUAAAACAAAAUUUUUACUCCUUUUGAGGCAGUGAAGAAUAGCAAGACACAACAAAGGGCUCUCGCCCCGGCAAGUGUAAGCCUUCAAACAACUCGAAUCCACGUCCCACCGCACAUUGGACAUCCGUGGGUCCACCUGCUGAUCCACCACGCUUCGCGUUCAUUCGCGGAACCUGCGGAACCUGUAGAACCUGGCUGAGCAAAUGCACAGGUUUGCCGCAAACAUCUAAUGCACUGCAAAGAGAGGUCAUAAAAAGAGAGACAUUUAUGGAACACACAGAAUUCACGAAAUACAGAGAAUCUAUGCAAAUUAAAAUAAUCAGCAGUAUGUUUUGCAAACGAACUAAAAGCCGCUCUUGAAUCGAACUUCCGUUUCGACUUGUUCUUGUCCAUCUAGAACAGAUUAAGUUUAACCAGGCGAAAUCCUCGGAAUAAAAGAUUCGAGACUGGUAAAUCAUGAGUAAUGUAUCACUAAAUUGAGCCAGCUAACAGUUUCAUGCAGACCUUCAAACUACAUGGGCACUGAACUAUCUUUAACAUUGUGGCAGCUUAUUUUACUUGAUGUGGAAACUUUGGUGGAAGAAAGUACAGUGUCUUUUAUGAUAUACUAUUCAAGUAAUUAUAGGGCCGACACGGUUGGCUGAACCAAUGAUGCUGCAAUUCCAAAUUUGAUAAUAUCAACUGGGUUAAUUUCAGUCGAACUUACCUUGUACCAUACACCUUCUAGGCCUGUCUUCCAAAUAGCUGUGAUGACAUCUCUUCGGGAACCCAUGAUACCAAGAUAUGAUCCAAGGCCGACAGAAGUCUUCAAACCAAAUGCAGCAUCUCUUUCUGACAACCUACGUUUCCUCGGCCAAAGGCUUUGAGACCCAGAAUAAUCAUCAUAAGCCUCUUCUACAUUAGGCAAACCAGAAAGCUUUAGCUUUGGCAUGUUAUCUAGUGGGCCAAGAUCGUCCGCAUCCGACCAGGGCCCACCAAACAUAUUACGCCUGUGCCACUCUUCCGCUGGAGGAUGGAGUUCUAACUCACGAAGUAGAAGUCCGGCAGCAUCAGCACCUCGCGGCCGAGGCAUAUUCUGCAUGCAGCAAGAUAAUUAAAGGCCUUAAAAUUGAGGAGAAAAUAAAAAACAGUAAGGGACAAAAGAACUCGGACAAUAUAAAGCAGAUAGCUUGUAUUGCAGGGCACUUGUUUCUGAUCCUACAGAGAUUAACUACAGUAUGUGGAUUAAACAUCAGCAGCAUGCAUUUUUCCUACCAACAGCAAGAUAGUAACACGGAAAUUUGGAACAAAGUCCAUGCUAUACCUGCAUAUGUGGGCCGAGAGAUGCUUCUACAACCUCAGGCAGCACGGUGUAGUUACCAUCAAUAUAAUGAAGCCGUAUGAUGAUAUUGCUAGCACCAACCUGAGAAGCAGGCAAUGGGUGUUGCGAGCCAGCUGUCCUUCGACAGAGAUCAACCAGUAUGAGAAAGAGGACCCUCACCUGCACAGGUACAUCAGUGUUAACAUUUUUUUUUAUUAUUCUUUUAAAUGAACUCAAAGCAGUACAUGCUAGAUGAUAUCUUCCAUCAAUCAAAAGAUGCAAUGAAAUUUUCGAAAAUCCAUCAAUGAGAGUUCUAUAUGUGCAUUCAGAAUAGCAAUGAUGCGGUGCUCCAAGCUGCCAGGGGAGCAACUGAGCAAGAGCAUAAAAUUGAGAUUCCAACAAAGAAUUGGCAUGAGGGUCAAACUUCAAGGACUGUAGUUUUAAGUUGAAACCACGGUCAAACGACAGAGCAAAAUUUGUGAAUGAAAUUGGCAAUAUAUUCAAUCAUUACCUCCUCCGAUGUGUAACCCUGACCUGCAUUGCCGAAGCCCAAUCUCACUGACUUGGCCGGAGGGCCUUCAUCUACCCCUUUUGCUCCAGGAAGUAGUUGUCCAGCACGGAUAGACUGUACCUCUUCCAUUUUGGCAACACCUAAACUGGGUCUUGCUGCAAUUCCGUUGUCCUCUAGUUUCCCAUUAGCAAUAGGCUGUACUUUAAGUAUAUUAGAAUCCAAAGUCCUCUGUGCAUUGAUCAUUAUCCGUGAUGAUUGUCUUUUCCGGAAAAGUAAGCAGAAGAGUAAUAAUUGACAUAGCCUAUGAAGGAAAUGACAGUCUCCAAUGAGUCGAACAGCAGGUGUCCCAGGAAAAGUUCCCGUAUUUAUGCUUAUAGGAAUAAAUGAAGAUCGGCCACUAAUUGGGUUUUGUGCGGCAGUCGAAGCUCCAUCAGCAUUGUUACUGAUCUUAGCAAUGGCGCCCUGUACCCACUCUUGCAUUUGAGAAUUACCAGUCGCACCCGUAACUCCGCUUUGAGUGCCUGAAAUUUUCAGAGUAAUCAGAUAAUGCAGUCAUCGUCUUAUUAAUUUCUGAUUUACCACAAUAGGAACUUGAAAGGCCAAAACAACAUAAUAUGAAUUUGCUGAUUUAGGACUACAACAUGGACUAAAGAAUUCAUAGAAAAGAAAACACCAAAAUAACGGCAAGCAAAAUCCAACUUAUCUUUGUCGAUAAAUGCGAAAAGAAAUGACUUAAGAAAUUUGUUUCUUAACCACUAUAAUGAAUCAAAAGGCACUGAACAGUUGGCUUACUGGCGGCAUGCCAUUUAGCAGGAUUCCAUUUAAGAUGUAUUAUCAAAUACUGACCUUGAUUGGUUGAUGGAGACGAAGAAUUAUGAGGUGGGCUAGUCACCAUAUUCCUUGUGCUCCCUGUGCCAGCAGAUGCUCCUACAGCAUGACUAGCCAAAGUACGGCAAAAACUUGCAUACCUUCGUAAACGCGUAAUGAAGUGUGAUGCUAGAUCAAGAAUUGCAUCGACAUAUGCCUGGAUAAGAAUUGAGAUGUAAAGAACCAUUCGUCCAAAAGGAAACAAGAGAAAAAUCCACAAGACAGUCAAAAACAAUCUUGAAAAGCUGAAAAGUACCAUAAAUUUUGUAUUUUCAUCGUUAACAAAGAAAAUAGCACACAAAUUCAAGAAUUCAUGACAAAGCAAUGUCUAUUUCACAGGUAAGACUGCAAUGUUUUAGCCUUUUCAUUCGGUAUCUUCUAUCAGCCUGCAAUAGGAUUGGUAAUUCAGACUGAAACAAUAGCCACACACCUUCUAGACUUACACCUAAAGCCUAAAGCCUAAACCCUAGACUUACACAUCCUAUCACCUGCAAAACGAAUAAUAUGAAAUUACCCAACUAAAAAUUCUUGUAAUAGUAAGGGUGAAGACGAAGCAGCUGAUAUAAACCUGGAUGCUGGGAGCUAAUGCAGGCUCCACCAUCAUUUUGUCAGAUUCAAUGCUUGAUAACAUCUCGCUUGAAGCCUGCCAAGGCUCAGCUAACAAAGUCGAGGGGUUUACAAGAGCAGAUUCAAUUCCCUUGCCCAACAUGUCAAGUAGUAGUCUAGCUUGCAUAUCAAGAACAAGUGCUCGAACAUCUUGAGCAUUUGUACCUUCCAAAAGCCGGCACUUAAUCCUAUCAAGGUUCUGCACAGCAUCAAUAAAAAGAUUUAAUAAAGCAAUAGGAAACAGAAAUAUUUCACAAUAUAAGACUUCAGGAUACAGUUUCUGUACCGGUACCUAUAAGUAAAAUGUGCGCAAAUAAAAAUCUCACAACAAAGUUGUGUUACUGUGACAUAGUUAUUUCCAAUUUUGAUAAAUUACAGUAAUAAAAUUGACAAAUUAGGUAUCAAGAGUGGAUUUGCAAUAUUUCAAUGUCCUGCCACUACACAGAACUGAUGACAUGAUAAAAUAAAAUCAGCAUACUUGAUCCAAAUCCAGUGAACAUUUCGAAAAAAAUCAGCACUGACACAACUCGUUCAUGAAUGCCCUACAACAGUUACUAUUUUUUACGGUGUUGCAAGAUUGCAAGAAAGCCAUGGAGACAUACAGCUACUUGAUAGACGAGCAUAAAAGUAAAUUCUUGGAGUAUUCAACUAUAGAAAUAGGAGCGACAGUGCAUAGAGAGAUUAAGCAGCAGUUGGUAGUCUGUAUUGGGAAAGAAUGAUGCUCUCUAGACAACGACAAUGACAAUCACUUAUCACAAUAUGUAAAAUGAAACUAGGCUACACUUCUCCAAAAUUAUUCUUCUCAAACAAAGCUGUACUCAUCAUACAAGAGCAAGAAGACUAUCUAUAACAAAAAGGUUGUCGGUUGAAGCGUCCAGAGUCUCCUCAUACAACAAAAUAGAAUUCAAUAACAUCAUAUAUUUCCCAAUGGCUCACAAGAACAAACAAUGCAAACUAAAAAUUGAGUAAAGAGCACCUACAGGGCCAUGUUGCUGCCUAUGCUGUGUAGACGGAAGAGAAUGGAAGUCCGCAUCCAGGACAGCAAUAACACUGUUAAGUGACACUAAAACAAGGAGGAAAUCAACAGACAAAGGAAACAACCAGUGAAUAAUGAGCAUCUACUAACAUUUUAUCGACAAUAUGAAACUAACGCUAUACAUUCGUAUUACAAGUUAACAGGAGCUAUAUGCAAACAAAGAAACAUUUUAAAAGCAAAAAAUUGUUGUCAUGGAAAAUCCACACCAAUAUCUAAGUAGAUCAAGGCAAUUAAUAAUCACUAACAAUAGAAGAGGCAGAAAAACUGGAACUCCGGAAGCACAAGUGAAUAGAAAGUAGCAGUGACAAAAAAACCAUCCAAUGGCUGUUGAUUCCGUACUAAUGCAAGAUUGACAAGAACAUCCAUGCACUUACAAGCAUUCAUUCGAAACUAGGAUCCUCUAUAAAAAGGAGCAAUACGAACACAUGGCCAAACAAGUAAAUACUACCUAACACCACGUUUGAAUAAAAGUAGAAAAUGAAACUCUCCUCUGCCAUUACACCAGAACCAACUCUCUUUUACUAUUACACAAUAACAAGGUACUGGAUUUUCCAUUAAAUCAAAUUGAAAGAGCUUGCAAAUCAAAUUCUUCAAGACGGCAAAAUUGUAGGCUCGAAUUACUGAAUCUUGACAGCCCAUUAAGGAUAAACAGAGGGAUCACACCCUUUCAACUCCCCAACAAUACAAUACAUCCUUACGAAAGAAGUACGCAAGAAGAUCCCUCCCUAUUAUGAUGAAAAGUAACGAGAGAAAAGGGAGGCUAAGAAGAAGAAGAAAAGAGAAGGGCGGUAUUGGGUUGGGGCCGAUAGUUGGAGCAAAAGAAUUACAAAUACUGGCGAAUCAUUAGAAUUACUGGUCCUUCCGUCAAACAGUUAACUUCCCUCAAGAAAAAGUUAUCUUUUCAACCAGUCCGCAAAACAAUUUUUCAUAAAGGAGCUUCAUUUUUCUUGCCAAUACCUUUACUGCUAUUUUCUAAUUUCGCCUCAUAACAAGCAGAGUGACUUGUAAUACAUAAACAGACUGAUGUGCUAACCUAUGAUAGCAGUAACACCUACGAUCUUCUCUACAUCACAAAAGAAAGAUGACUUUUCUUACCAAUACCAUCUUCUGCAGCACUCUGCGUACACCCAACAGCAUCCCACCAAUCCACGCCAGCCAGUAGACUCCACCAGAAUCUGCAAAGGUGUGACCAUUAUGAAGGAAAUAUAAAUCAAUAUGAACGUGUGCAGAUGUGCCUAAAGCUCUGCAUACCUAUCUGCAAUUGCACGCUCCCACAUCGCUGAGCUAACUCUCGAAUGUGCAAUAGGAAGAGCAGGAGGAAGAACACGAAUUAUCUUUAAUAUAGUGCGAUCCUUGACAGUGUCAUGCCAAACAGAAGCCAAGCAGCAGCUACUUGAUGAGAAAGCAGGUGUAGCAAUUGUUGAACCAACAUUGACAUGGUAGCUCUCAAUUUGAUUAAAGUCUGGACCAGAGAAAAUGUGGACUCCUCCUCGAAGGAAAGCAACAGCAACCUCACCACCAUGAGCAGAAUAAACUAUUUGAGCAAGCUGUCUAACAUCAUUUGGCAGAUCAUACGGAUCAAAACUCAGCCUAGUUGCCCUCUCAACACUGCAGUCAGAUGAAUUUCGUUCGUCUGAUACUGUUGGCGCAGAUGCAAUUGCUUGAGGAUUCCUAAGCUCAUCAGUUGGUGGAAUGCUUUUAUUAACUCUAGUCUCCCAAACAGUUUGCAUGGGGGCUUGUCCACCAAAACUACCAGAGGGAUUGCCAAAUAUUGGAUGAAGAACAACAGGUUGAAGAGAUGAUUCCCAACACUGAACCCUCCACCCCGUAAUUGAAGGUCCUUCGUCUGGAUCAUAUGGAGACAUAUACUGCCCUGGAGAAAGAAAGAUUGUUUAAUUGUCUGACAUUUUCCGUAUAACAAACACAAGACACAAAAAAGUAACAGUACACAAAUGAGACAUGAAAUGAUCAACAAGUAUAUGCAAAUUACUGCAGAAAAACAAAUUACGAACAAACAACAUGAUGAAGACAAAUAUUAGAAUUUCAAAAUAGGGCACAAAUUAUUAUUGCAACAGCACCUGCAAUAUAAGUUUACCUUCAACUAUUACGACAGCAAUGACUGACCCACCAUGAGUAGGAUCAAAAGCAACUGCGGUAACCCCAGAGCCCCAUGUUGUCGUGGUAGCAGAUUGGGCAGCAGUUUCAGGACUCACAUAUGCUGAAAAAUUCGAAACAGGUGAACAAUGUAUCGAUGCAGCCUCAGUUAUCUCGUGAUCUGGCUUCUUGCCUUGCAUUCCUUCAGAACCUAAGUAUUCUUGCAAGCUAAAUAGAUAUGUUGCUAGAGGUGCAAAACCAGUCCAGGAAGGAGGGCUCAAAUAUGGAGGAAUGGAGCUCGUUGUACUAAUCUUUGCAGUUGUCUGGAAACCAUUUCCAGGGCCAGGCAUCACCUCCCAAACCACUACAGUAGAGGGAUUUACAAGUGGGACACCAGCAACAUGAAGAGCCCCAGAUUCAGUAAUAAUUGCAUCAGCAGCCAUUAUACCACUGGGUCCAGCACCUAGAAGUCCUUUGCUCGUUGAGAACCAUCUCGGUGCUGACCCAUUUUGAGAAGGCCACUGUGCCCAGUGAAGCUGAACAGAUCCAGAUGAAAAAACUGAACAAAUACAGAGAAUGUUCGGCCAUCUCACUGCAACAAAGAGAUAACAGGAGAUAUGAACAUAAAUAAAUUCUUUUCUUCAUUUUUUUUUCCUUUUUCAUUUGAUUAUGUUUCUUUUGUUAAGCAAAUUCGUUCGACAUCAUGAAGGAAUACGAACCUGAAAUUUGAGACUGCCGUGGAAGAAACCUUUCCUCAAAGGACUUCGAGUUGGCGGAAGUGCUAGAGUUUGGGAGAAAUCUAUACUGCAGAAAUAAUGAGAAAAUUAAUUUAGCAAGAGCAGCAUUGCACUGUGCACCUUUAGUCCUUUGCAAACACAUGCACGUGCGCGCGCACAAACAAAACAAGAAAAAAAGAGGCAACGCACGUCAAAUUAUAUAAUCUAAAAAAAAAAGGCGAAAACAGUAUCUGACUGAAAAAUGCCAGAAUGAAAUUAUCUAAAAUGGAACUAUCACAAAAGAUGAGGUAAAGUAAUACCGGAGUCAUUCCUGACAACCAUUUGGUCACAACAGCAAGAUCCUGUCGCCAUUCAUGCUCGCAUUGCCAGCAGCUGGCGUCGCGUACAAGAUUAAUAGGGCCCUGACUCCAAUUGGAUAGCACGUUGAAGAAUAUACCACGAAAGAGCAAUACAGAAUCCCCCCAAACAAAGGAUAAUCAGUGAACCACAGGAAGGAUUCGCCAUAAUAAAAAACAGAAGAAAUUUUAUUUCCUUUAUCACUAUAUAUAUAUAUAGACCUAGGCUGGAAUACUAUCAAUAGCACUAAGCAUUUGGUGCUAUUAGGUUUUCGGCCCUUGGAUUGAGAAAUGUAUGGUUAGGAUGAUAUGGGCUUCCUAGGAUUGAGUAAGUUAUUGGUUUAAUAGUAUAAUCUAACAGGUGAAAAUAGUCAAACGGUUAAAUCUAAUGGCGGAAAACUUGAUAGCACCAAAUACUUUGGGCUAUCGAUAGAAUCCCAGCCGGACUAUAUAUAUAUAGUUUUCUUGAAUGAUCGAUAGCCGGUCGAUUAGUAAGAAGGAAAAACAAGCAAGUAUUUCAGAAGAAGUCAGCGUGACAAUAGGAAAAAAAAAAAAAAGAACAUAGCUCUUAUGGAGCUUAUUAAGUAAGAAAUAUACUUGAGAAGGCUGAGUCCAUAUUGUGAUUCUCCCAUGAAAAUUUGCAACUAGCAAGGCACGGGGGCACGACCGAGGAGACCAUUCAAUGAACUGAACAGAGUCACGUGGAGAGUCUGUUCAAUAAAUAACAUAAUCAGCACGAAUUGAAUUCCAAGAGAAGAAUGCAAAAAUGAAGGGUCAUUAUUUUAGCCUCGAAGUCUAAACAUAUAAGCAUCAACGGAGGCUAUCAUCCAGGCUGUCAUAAAUAAGUGAUAAAUAAUAGAGUGCUCUUGUCGGGAAUCUCAAGAAGCAAAGAAAAGGACUAAACAACAAAAGUUAAAUGAGGAAAGCUGGCCCCAAAAAAAUAGAAGAGAAGAAGAAAAGUACAGUCUAGCGAAAGGUAAGACAAGCUUAGAGGCAGAAAGAUGCAAGGAAAGAAAGCAAAAUGAACCAUAUUUUUCAUAACAUCUAACAAGAUGAUCCUCAUACUAUCGUAACUUUCCUUUCAUGAUAUUCUACUUCACUAGUAAGUGAUAAAUGUUUACCUGCUCUCACGUUAAAAACGGCACAUUCUGUUGGCCUCUCGGGGUUCAAGAUGUGAAUUGGGAUCCAAAAAGGCGGACUUGCAUUCGAGCUGAAAAGGUUGCUUCUUUAUUCACCAAUUCAGCUACUUAAACAAUCUAAAGAAAUAAGACCAAGCAUGCACUGCUUUUUCUAGAGCAUAAAAUUAGCGAAAAAAAGAACGAACCAUGGUAUCCUCGCGCAGGUCUCCGACGCACAUGCGAUGGCGUUCAGCUUCCCACACCAAGCAACCGCACUGCCAAACAAGACUAAUUUAAGAGGCCUGUAACUUUUAAUCCGAGAACAACCCUAAUUUACUACUCAUCCAAGCUACAGCAAACCUAGAACUUCAGGUUUCGUAAACAAAGGAGGGAAAGAAGGAAAAAAAAAAAAAAACCUAAUCUUUGCUGCCAUUUGCCAUCAAAUUCCCAAAAAAUCAACAGUUAUCAUCGGAACAACAUCAAGAUCCCAUCGAAAGGGGAGAACCUGAAGUUGCGGCAGAGCUCGGGGACGCUCAUCUUGUGGCGGAGGCUCGCGGGCGGCUGCUUGAGGCGGAUACGGAACACCGUCGCGGGGGACGGCUUGGGCCCGCCAUCUCCGCCUCCUCCUCCUCCUCCGUCCAUCGGGUGAUCCCCUUCCUCGUCCCUCUUCUCCGCUCCCCUAUCCACCUCCCCUACCGCCUCCGCCGCCGCUCUCUCCGGAACCCUACCCUCCCUCCCUCCUCCUCCUCCUCCUUCCGCAUCCGCCGCCGCCGCCUCGGGGGUGUGGUCUUUAGGGGGUAGUGGGGAGGGCGAAGGGGCUGGGGUUGGUAUUGGGGUGGAAUUGGUCAUAUGGGAGAAGAGGGCGUGAGAGGAGCACUUAGAUCAUUUAUAGCGACGGGUGGGUGGGCGCGAGAGAAAGAAAGAGAGAGAGAGAGAGAGAGAGAGAGAGAGGGGGAGGGAAAAAGAAAGAGAGAAAGAGAGAAAGUCGCCCCAGUGAGGGAGACAGCAACCACUGUGCGGGAGGGUGGGGGGGAAGUGUCUGUGUGUGGGGUUCCGCGUGGACGAAGAGAGGAGAAUGGAACAAGAACAAGCGUUGCGCAGUUCUUUGGUUGCUAUCGAAUACUACGGCCCACUUAUGCCCAUACAUAGAGCGACGCGGCCCAGUAAAAAUAAAUUUACGGCCCAAAACCAACUCACCGACUUNGCGUUGCGAACAAGAACAAGGUAAGAGGAGAGAAGCAGGUGCGCCUUGGGGUGUGUGUCUGUGCAGUUCUUUGGUUGCUAUCGAAUACUACGGCCCACUUAUGCCCAUACAUAGAGCGACGCGGCCCAGUAAAAAUAAAUUUACGGCCCAAAACCAACUCACCGACUUAUAAACCGGGCCGGACUCGCAUUCCGAAUAAAAUAAGAUCCGUUUGCGUUUUUUUUUACGCCUCUUGCGCUUCAUCUCUUCCCUUCGUCGCGAAGGUUGUGCGGCUCGACGCUACCCGGUAGCCAUGGUGUUCGUCCGAACCCUCGACGGGAAAACCCUAACCCUAGACGUGAACCCUCGCUCCACCUCCCUCCUCGCCUUCAAGCUCGCCGUCGAGGCCCGAUCCGGCGUCCCCGUGCAUCUACAACGCAUCUUCCUCUCCUCCCGCCGCCUCUCAGGCGCCGCGUGCGGCGGCGGCGGUGGAGGUGCCGGCGCCGGCGCUGAUGAUUCGUCCGUCACCCUCUCCGACCUCGCCGUGGGAAGAGGCUCGACCCUAGCCCUCCACGUCCCCUUCCUCGGCGGGAUGCAGGCCCCCGCGGGGCCAUCGCGCCCCGCGCGCUACGACUUCCUCAACUCCAAGCCCCCGCCCAACUACGUCGCCGGGCUCGGCCGCGGCGCCACCGGCUUCACCACGCGAUCCGAUAUCGGCCCCGCCCGCGCCGCCCCCGACCUCCCCGACCGCUCCGCCGCGCCCGGCGCGCCCCCCGCCGCCGGUGCCGCCACCCCCGCCGCCGCCGGCGUCGGUCGAGGCCGCGGGAAGGGCCCCGGCGAGGAGGAGGAGGACGAGGAGGCCGACGACAAGGGGUACGACGAGAACCAGAAGUUCGACGAGUUCGAGGGCAACGACGUGGGGCUCUUCGCGUCGGCCGAGUACGAUGAGGACGAUAAGGAGGCCGACGCCGUGUGGGAGAGCAUCGAUAAGCGCAUGGACUCGCGGAGGAAGGAUCGGAGGGAGGCGAGGCUGAAGCAGGAGAUUGAGAAGUACCGCGCCUCAAACCCUAAGAUUACCGAGCAGUUUGCCGAUCUGAAGCGCAAGCUCGCGGAUCUGACUCCCGAGCAGUGGGACAGCAUCCCCGAAAUUGGGGAUUAUUCUCUAAGGAACAAGAAGAAGCGGUUCGAGAGCUUCGUGCCCGCACCCGAUACGCUUCUUGAGAAGGCUAGGCAGGAGCAGGAGCACGUUACUGCCCUCGAUCCCAAGAGCCGCGCGGCCGGAGGAACGGAGACCCCCUGGUCGCAAACUCCUGUUACGGACCUCACGGCUGUCGGAGAAGGUAGGGGCACCGUUCUCUCGUUGAAGCUGGAUAGGUUAUCCGAUUCCGUAUCGGGAUUAACCGUGGUCGAUCCGAAGGGCUAUCUAACCGACCUCAAGAGCAUGAAGAUCACGAGCGACGCAGAGAUUUCAGAUAUCAAGAAAGCAAGGCUCUUGCUUAAGUCGGUGACGCAGACGAACCCUAAACACCCGCCCGGAUGGAUCGCGGCUGCUAGGCUGGAGGAGGUUGCUGGAAAGAUCCAGGCGGCGAGACAGUUGAUUCAGAAGGGGUGCGAGGAGUGCCCUAAAAAUGAAGAUGUGUGGCUGGAAGCUUGCAGAUUGUCAAGCCCUGAUGAAGCAAAGGCGGUAAUCGCUAAAGGAGUGAAGGCUGUGCCCAAUUCGGUGAAGCUUUGGUUGAAGGCUGCACAGCUGGAGAGCACUGAUCUGAAUAAGAGCCGAGUGUUGAGGAAAGGGUUGGAGCACAUUCCGGAUUCAGUGAGACUGUGGAAGGCUGUUGUUGAGCUCGCCAAUGAGGAUGAGGCCAGGGUUCUCCUCCAAAGGGCUGUUGAUCUGUGCCCUCUUCAUGUUGAGCUUUGGCUUGCCCUUGCGAGGCUGGAAACUUAUGAUCAGGCGAAGAAGGUGCUUAAUCGGGCUAGGGAGAAACUCUCCAAGGAGCCUGCUAUUUGGAUUACUGCAGCAAAGCUUGAGGAAGCUAAUGGUAAUAUACAAUCGGUGGUGAAGGUGAUCGAGAGAGGUAUAAGGUCAUUGCAGAGGGAACGUCUGGAGAUUGACCGGGAAGCUUGGAUGAAGGAAGCGGAAGCUGCGGAACGUGCAGGGUCAAUUUUGACUUGCCAGGCCAUAAUUAAGAGCACAAUUGGCAUUGGUGUUGAAGAAGAGGACCGGAAACGAACUUGGGUUGCUGAUGCCGAGGAGUGUAAGAAGCGCGGUUCUAUAGAGACGGCUCGUGCAAUUUAUGCGCAUGCGCUCAGUGUCUUCCUGACCAAGAAGAGCAUAUGGCUUAAAGCAGCACAACUCGAGAAGAGUCAUGGGACUAGGGAGUCUCUUGAUGCGCUGUUAAGAAAAGCAGUAACCUAUGUGCCGCAGGCUGAGGUGCUAUGGCUGAUGGGUGCGAAGGAGAAGUGGCUAGCAGGUGACGUGCAUUCAGCUAGGGCAAUUCUUCAGGAAGCGAAUGCUGCAAUUCCUAACUCGGAAGAGAUCUGGUUGGCUGCUUUCAAGCUCGAAUUCGAGAACCACGAGCAGGAGAGAGCAAGGCUGAUUUUGGCCAGGGCUCGGGAGAACGGAGGAACCGAGAGGGUGUGGAUGAAAUCUGCCAUUAUAGAGAGAGAAUUGGGGAACACAGCUGAAGAAAGGAGGUUGCUAGAGGAAGGAUUGAAGUUGUUCCCUUCAUUUUUCAAGCUGUGGUUGAUGCUUGGACAGAUGGAGGACCGACUGGGUCAUGUGGAGAAAGCAAAGGAAGCUUAUGAGAAUGGGUUGAAGCAUUGCCCUAAUUGUAUCCCUCUUUGGCUAUCGGUUGCUAGCUUAGAGGAGAGGAUGGGAGGUCUGAGCAAAGCCCGUGCUGUUCUCACUAUGGCCCGAAAGAAGAAUCCUCAGAAUCCGGAGCUUUGGCUUGCGGCUAUUAGGGCCGAAUCUAGGCAUGGGAACAAGAAGGAAGCUGACACUUUGAUGGCGAAAGCAUUGCAGGAGUGCCCGACAAGUGGGAUAUUGUGGGCGGCUAACAUUGAGAUGGCUCCGCGUCCUCAGCGCAAAACAAAAAGUGCGGAUGCUCUCAAACGGUGCGAUCAUGAUCCGCAUGUCAUUGCGGCUGUGGCAAAGCUAUUUUGGCAGGAUAGGAAGGUUGAUAAGGCAAGGAACUGGUUAAAUAGAGCAGUUACUCUUGCACCUGAUAUUGGAGAUUUCUGGGCCUUGUACUAUAAGUUUGAGCUUCAGCAUGGCAAUGAGGAUAUUCAAAAGGAUGUCUUGAAAAGAUGCAUUGUAGCGGAGCCGAAGCAUGGUGAGAGAUGGCAAGCGAUCUCCAAGGCUGUGGAGAACUCUCAUCUACCAAUUGAAGCCCUUCUUAAGAAAGCAGUGGUUGCACUGGGUAAAGAAGAGAACUCGGUUGUUGCAGAUGGCAUCAAGUCCUGAGUUCCGUUGAUUGUCAGCAGGUAUUUUCGCUGAGAACUAGAAGAUUUGGCACGGGUGUCAUCGACUCAUGUUGUAUUCGAAUUUCCAGCAUCUUCAAGUAGCACUUAUUAGUCCUUUAUUCUAAGAGUUUAUUUUAGAACUUCCUCUUGGAAAACUUUAUGCAGCAGAGAGUUUUAGCAAUUGUUAAGGGUGAUGUUCAUUGGGAGCUAUACGUUGGUUUUAGAUCUACUCUUUGCUUGUACCUUGUUCAAUAUAAUGCUUUAAGUAGAUAUUGCUGAUUAUAACUAUUUUGACUAGCUUGUUACACUGUCCUGGCUAGGAUAGGAGCUUUCAUUAGUGCUCUCAUAAAUAAGUUGACCUAUUUUGGUACUCCUAUGAUGUCGAAAUCUGAAGCUUUUUUCCUAUAUUUUUGGUACUAGUUUGCAUCUUUUAGUUAAUUCCUGUGUAAUUAAAUGCUGCACAUUUUCUUGUAUGUGUAUAAAAUGGUUGCUUGAUGGCUUAUUCGGAUGUCUAUUAUGUUGUUUUAAAUGACAUAUUUUAUUUGUGAAUAAAUCCAUUCUAGAACCCCAUGAUGUUUCAAGUAAUUUGGAUUUUCAUGAUUUGCAUGGGAGAAGAUGAGGACAAGCCAACUUCUGAGUUUUGACAUUGCGACAUGCCUUUUGUUUUGUUUCUUCAAAUAUGAUCUGUUCUCUUUAGCAUGGGCUGCUAAUUGUGUUGAAUUUUUUCACAUACCGUGAGCCCUUAUGGCAUCUUCGAAUUAUAUUCCUCUUUUUAUGUGUUUUUAAGAUAUGGCAUGAAUAUAUUAUCUCCUUUGAAAUGUUGAUCUUUACGCAUGAUUAUCGUGUGGAGCGUCAAGAAGAUGCUAUGCUAAGCAUAAAAAUGGAAGCAAGAAAUGAGUCACUGGUGUACAAGGCUUACUGCUUUGAAUAAUUUAGGACUUGUAAUGGCAGGAUAGUCCUCCUAUGUGUAUCUAAAACAGUUUUUAAGGUAUGGUAAAUAUAUCAAUUAGAUAAUGUUAUGUUGACAAUUGACAAUUUAGUCCUUCCUAUUGUGGUAAACUCCUCGAGCAAAGCUUGUUUCAGACAUCGAUCCCAAAAGCACAGAUUGAGCUUGGCUCGUUUACUUCAUGAGCAAGCCGGAUCCAAGCCAAACAACGUGCUAAGCUUGAGCCGAUUGUGAUCCCGGAGGUCUUUUUGACACCGCUAGCUGUAUUAAGCUGUGUUCUUGACCAACAACGAAAUUCAAAUCAUAAUUGAAUUGAGGUCACUGAAUAGCUUAGUUAAAAUCGUUAUCAGUGUCUGUUGUAAAUGGUAAUUAUGAUACCUUAAAUUACCAUACCUUGUGGUUGACAGCACAUAUGAACAGAUAUAUUGUGAGAUAACGAACUUCGUCGCGCUUGUAUUUUCUUUUUUUUUUCAAUUUCCAUAAAUGAUAUAUUUUCUUCUUUUUUUCAAUUUCCAUAAAUUAGUAGUAUCAUUCAUUUUUGCGCUUAUCCUUGUUAUGACAUAGUUGCCUUAAAAUAUUUUUUUUUAAAGAAUCUGCAGAUGCAUUGAACUUUGGCAUGCUUACUGAUGAUGUCAUUUCUCACAUCAUGUUGUGUUUCUUGUGAUUUCAAUCAAAUGUUUCUGGGCCGCAUGCUUUACCUUACCCUUCAUUGGAUGUCUAUGAGAUGAAGUGAUAGCGUAAUGCAUGACCAAAUGCAUCUUCCUGGGGAAGGAUCUAUAUUUGCCUAAGUAAUAUGCCUGUGCAUCAUCUGGUGGUGUGGACCAUAGCAUUAUCUUGACUAUCCUGCUUAGAUUUUGCUUGGAAAUGGACAAAUGUUUUGCACACAACAGGUGGCUUCCAAAGUACAGUUUACGACUCAAAUUUUGAAACUCGCUUCUUGGUUUGGAUAUGUAGUCCGAAGGAUCUAUUGUUGUAUGUAAAAUUGUUUCAUCAAUUGUAUUAAGAGCAUUCCCUUAUGAGAGGUUGUGAGUGGUGAUACUGCUAUUGGAGAUAUCACCAGUGUAAAUAAGUAGGCCAACCUUUCCUUGAUGGCUUGGAUUUUGAAACAACUUUUAUAUUAUGAGAAGCAGUAAGAGUUUUAUUAAAUAAGCAAAAAUGUGUGAUUUAAUUGCAUGGAAUUAGUUGUUGUUGUUUGGACUCUGGAGCUUAAAUGAGAUAUUGGUUCUUAAAAUGGGGGGUACCCUAAUCCUCAUUAGUACAAUAAUAAUAUGUAGAAGUGUCAAUGAAGAUACUAAUUUUAAGCAGCUCUAUUAAAAUAGUCUUUUCGGAAAGUAUAAAAUAUUACAAAAAGUAAAGAUGCUGCAUCCACUAGUGAGCCCCUGGUUUUACCUUUUGUUUAUCUUGUAUUUAUUGGUUAGCAACCUUUCCAUCAAAACUAAAUCCAACACCUAGUGAUAAAGAAGCAGAGAUCAGGAAAAUGGAGCAAGAGUUUGAGCACACUUUCCUAAAAAUCAGAGGUCUCAACAUCCACAUAGCUCACAAAGGAGAAGGUUAGUGUAUUACAGAGUAUCAUUCUCUCUUCCAAUUGUUCUCUCCUCGCUUCUUACUUUGUAUCUGAUGUGGUAGGGGGAUCGGGCACUGUGGUGUUCCUUCACGGCUUUCCGGAGAUAUGGUACUCGUGGAGGCACCAGAUGGUCGCAGCUGCGGCCGCCGGCUUCCGAGCCAUUGCCCCCGACUUCCGCGGUUAUGGCCUCUCUGACCAACCGCCGGACCCGGCAAGCGCAUCUCUGGACGAUCUCGUCACCGACCUCUUCGCCAUCCUCGAUGCUCUCUCUAUCUCAAAGGUGACAAUUUUUCAUCGAAUCAUGAAUUCGUGCUAAAGUUCAAGAAACAAUUGGUCACUGUACUUGUCGUCGUAAAGUUUCAUUUGGCUCGGCUCACUUAUCUUGAAUAGAACCACUCCGUUAUACUCGUUAAGUCGGGUUGAAAAGAGUGAUCUGAUAGUUGAUUUAACUAUCACAUCAUCUAUGAUCGCUAGCAAUAACAUGACAAUCAAAUCAAUUGUCACAUCAUCUCUUUGUUAGAUAAUUUGAAUGGAGUUCGACAGAAUAAUCCGAUUAAAACAAAAGUUAGAAAUAAAUUUAACGUUUAGUGACUUAAUUGCAAUAAACUUCAAUGACCUAACUGAUGCUUUAUGAUAAGUAGAGUGAUCAUCAAUAUCUUGACUUGCCCAACUUUCUUUCCAAUUUGUUUAGCAAAAUUUUCUAUGUGAGAUUCUUAUUUUGGUCAUGAUUGCUUUGCUGGGUGAAAGGCUUUCAUAGUUGGGAAGGAUUUUGGAGUGAGACCAGCUUAUCAAUUUGCCAUAUCGUACCCAAAUCGUGUGUGUGGGGCUAUAACUUUGGGCAUACCUUUCUCUAUCACUUCUUUCUCCUCUGCAGUAAAAUCGCCGGGAUUCUACAUAUCAAGAUGGCGGGUAAGAAACUCAAAACUAUGCUAUUUUUAGUAUUGUUACUGUUUUUCCAUUCUUCUAAACAUAAAUUCUAUGUCAUUCAAAAGUCGUCGACUGGACUUUUCUAUUCCUGUUUGUUGGUAGCUGACGACUAUCCAGGUCAAAUGCGAAGCGCACAUUCUUAAGAAAGAAAACAAAUCUCGGUAAUUCGUCAAGAAAAGAUAGAAAAAUGAUAAUAAUACCAAACGAAGGGCUACGUUUGAUACACAAAUUGAUUCAUCAAACAACUGCUGCUAUGAUUUGUUGUUUCUUCAAUAGGAGCCUGGGCGAGCAGAGGCGGACUUCGGCAGGUUUGACAUUAAGAGGGUCGUGCGCACCAUUUACAUUCUCUUUUCUCGGAGCGAGAUUCCUAUAGCCGAGGAGGGCCAAGAGAUCAUGGACCUUGCAGACUCAUCGACUCCUUUACCUGCGUGGUUCACCGAUGAGGAUCUCGCCGUCUAUGCUUCUCUCUAUGAGAAACCAGGCUUCGCCUAUCCACUCCAAAUGCCUUACCGGUAACUGUAAAACUCUAAUAGUUCGUAACUUUUAUUAUAUUAGUUCCCGAGUUAAAUUGCACGGAACUCUGGGUUGCUUUUCUGAACAGGGUGUCGAAGACGCUCGGAAUCACGGGCGAACCGAAAGUCGAGGCCCCUUCCUUGCUGAUCAUGGGAGAAAAAGAUUAUGUCUUGAAAUUCCCAGGGAUGGAGGAGUAUAUAAAGAGUGGGAUGGUGAAGAAGUUCGUACCUGACCUGGAGAUUGUGUACAUACCUGAAGGAUCUCAUUUUGUUCAGGAGCAGUUCCCUCAGCAAGUGAAUCAACUCAUCAUCACUUUUCUCAAGAACCACUCCCUCAGCAAGUGAAUCAACUCAUCAUCACUUUUCUCAAGAACCACUCUUUACCAUAAUAAAAUUCGGAAUUCUUAGUUACAGAUAUAUAUAUAUAUAUAGAGAGAGAGAGAGAGAGAGAGUUGAGCUGGAAUACUAUUGAUAGUAUUUGACUUCUUUUGCUAUCAAGUUUUUAAUCUUUAGAUGAGAAAUUGUUAGGAUGAUAUUAAUCUCUUGGAGUUAAAUGAUCCUUCUAUGGUUGAGUGGUUCCUACUGGGUUAUAAUAAUCAAAUAGUUAGAAAUGAUCAAAGGAAUUAAUCCAAAGGUUAAAAACUUGAUAGCAAAAGAAAAAAAAUAUUAUUAAACUCUCUCUCUCUCUCUCUAUAUAUAUAUUGUAGUAACCAACCGACGAGGUUUUAGUUCUCAGAUCUAUUAAAUUUUAAUUGAUAAACUAAAUUUAAGUAAAUCUAUUGUGAUUCUUUCUGUGUUUUCUGCCAUUUUGAUGAUUGUAGUUAAACAAAGGGUCAUAUGAAACUGCUAAUCGAAGAUACUUUCACAUCAUGUUCUUGAUAUACAUAAUAUAUACACAAUCACCAGAAGAUCAUCUAGUAGUAUAUGGGAGCAUAAAAACCAAUGUCUACAACUGGAAAGUACACCCACGCUGCUUUUAUUUAUUCUACAAAGUAGACGCAAUCAACCAACCAACCAAGCCAACAAUCAGAAGCAGUUAAGGAGUAAUCGAUUCCUUUUUAAUCUCUGCGCGUAAAAUUUCAGAGUUCAUAAGCUGGGAAUCUCGAUUCGGGCGGUUUAAGCAUGUCCAGAAAGAAAUAUACCCACCCAGCCUGGCCUUCAAAGAGCGAAAACGGCUGAUCACCGACGCCCAAGAUCCCCUCCGCGAUCAGCUGUUCAGCUCCGUCCAGAAGAAAGCACGCGAAUGCUUUGGCCCGAUAAAGGUGCUCCGCAUUGCCAGUUAGCCGGUAGAGCGAGAGGAAUGCGUACGCAUUUCCGCUUAUACCGUGACAGAUUCCGACUCGCUUUAGCAGGCCUCGAUUCCAGACUACCUCUGCAGCCUCUGCUGCCGCCUGCAGGAACUCCUCUUCCUGGAAGACCUGGCAAGCACAUUUCCUUUCGGAAUUCAGUUUGAUCCAUUUUCUUGGUCCACUGAAUCUCUUUGUGCAGUCGGCAACUUAACGAAGAAAAGAUGAAAAGAGAAAACUGAACAACCAAGAUGCAUUCACCUGGUAAGCUUUAGUAAGGGUGAGAGCAACACCAGGAGCACCAUGGCACCAAUGAACAGCACCGUCGGCACCGUCUCCCUCUGUAAGUGGGUAGUUCCCGCUUGGAAGUCGGUUCUCAAUCAUGUAGCGAAGAGUGCCCUUGACGCAUUCCUGCUCCUCCAAAUUCAGCUCCAUGUCCAUCAGAACAUGCACGAUCCCCGCGAGCCCGUGAGCAGCGCCCCAGUAUCUCUCAUCAAACCACUCGUACAUUAGCGGGCAGCUCCCUUCGACAGACAAUCUCUUUCCGUCGCUAAUGACCUCCUUCACUACUGCAUCCUACAAAGUUUUGAUCAUCUACUAUCAGAUUACUAGAUCCUCUGGAAUCAGCUCAGGGUGAGAUUCGAAUAGUAACCAAAGGAGGAAAUUUCAAAGAAGAAAACUCACAAUCUUCGUCGAAGGGAUAGUCCGAUCACCAAGAUGCUUAUUUAGGAAUGAACAAGACCAUAGAUAUCCAGCUCUUCCAUAUAGCAACUCAUUAGGAACUUGAUCUGGCAUUCUGAUCUGUUUCUCGACAAGUUGCAAGUUAUUUUCAACAGGGAAAAUGUUUGUAGUGAAACAUUAAAUGACCAAUCAUAUCAUGAUGUACAUCAUUACGGACUUUAUUCACACAUUCUGAUUUGUUCUUCGAUAAGUUGCAAGUUAUUUGGACAGAUAUGGUCAAGCAUUAGAAACAAUGCGACAGAAACGAAAAAAUCGUAACGUCUACGGUGAGGAUAACAAUAUUUUUCGUGAUUAUUUAUAGCUGUAUAAGUUUUGAAGGAAAAUAUUCAGUAACUAAAUGUGACAGAAAUUUCUCAUCCGCAAUGAAGGAAACAUGUGUACCGAAGCUCACAUCAUUAAACAAGCUCAAAUAAU
rnacentral:lncRNA from 1 species